rnacentral:rRNA from 1 species
AACAAACGCUGGCGGCGUGCCUAAUACAUGCAAGUCGAACGGGGAAAGCUUUCGGGUGAGUACUAGUGGCGCACGGGUGAGGAACGCGUGGAUAAUCUGCCUUAGAGUGGGGGAUAACUAGUCGAAAGAUUAGCUAAUACCGCAUAAGACCACAGGAGCUGCGGCUCAAGGGGUCAAAGGUUUUUCGCUCUAAGAUGAGUCCGCGUAAGAUUAGCUAGUUGGUGAGGUAACGGCUCACUAAGGCGACUAUCUUUAACUGGUAUGAGAGGAUGAUCAGCCACACUGGAGCUGGGACACGGUCCAGACUCCUACGGGAGGCAGCAGUAGGGAAUAUUGCACAAUGGAGGAAACGCUGAUGCAGCGACGCCGCGUGAGUGAUGAAGGCCUUCGGGUCGUAAAGCUCUGUCGCAGGGGAAUAACACAAUGAAGGUACCCUGUAAGAAAGGAUCGGCUAACUUCGUGCCAGCCGCCGCAGUAACAC